AGAGCGAACGCUGGCGGCAGGCCUAAUACAUGCAAGUCGAACGGAUCCUUCGGGAUUAGUGGCGGACGGGUGAGUAACACGUGGGAACGUACCCUUUGGUUCGGAACAACUCAGGGAAACUUGAGCUAAUACCGAAUGUGCCCUUCGGGGAAAAGAUUUAUCGCCAUUGGAGCGGCCCGCGUCUGAUUAGCUAGUUGGUAGGGUAAAGGCCUACCAAGGCUACGAUCAGUAGCUGGUCUGAGAGGAUGAUCAGCCACACUGGGACUGAGACACGGCCCAGACUCCUACGGGAGGCAGCAGUAGGGAAUCUUGCGCAAUGGGCGAAAGCCUGACGCAGCCAUGCCGCGUGAAUGAUGAAGGUCUUAGGAUUGUAAAAUUCUUUCAGCGGGACGAUAAUGACGGUACCGCAGAAGAAGCCCGGCUAACUUCGCGCCAGCAGCCGC
rnacentral:rRNA from 1 species